CAUUUACAGGAUAUGUGUUUCGCAAUUGCUAUCAAGAAAAAUGGACUAGGAUUUUAACUUUGAUGUGUUUAUAUAAAUGUUCUGGCAUAUAGACCACAAACUAAUUAGUUUAAAUAUUUUAUUAUCAAGAAAAGAAAACCAAACCUAGCAUGUAUGUCAGAAGUAAUGAAGCAUCUUUUGAGAAGCUAAGACUCAAAUUAAGGAAGAAAUUCUACAAACCACACAGAUGUGUAGUUCCUUUUACCAGUUUUAUAUGUUAAAAAUUAUUAGUGACUUUUAAAUGGGUGAAAGAUGCAAUUUGCAAUUGCAUUGAUCCAUUUACAGGAUAUGUGUUUCGCAAUUGCUAUCAAGAAAAAUGGACUAGGAUUUUAACUUUGAUGUGUUUAUAUAAAUGUUCUGGCAUAUAGACCACAAACUAAUUAGUUUAAAUAUUUUAUUAUCAAGAAAAGAAAACCAAACCUAGCAUGUAUGUCAGAAGUAAUGAAGCAUCUUUUGAGAAGCUAAGACUCAAAUUAAGGAAGAAAUUCUACAAACCACACAGAUGUGUAGUUCCUUUUACCAGUUUUAUAUGUUAAAAAUUAUUAGUGACUUUUAAAUGGGUGAAAGAUGCAAUUUGCAAUUGCAUUGAUCCAUUUACAGGAUAUGUGUUUCGCAAUUGCUAUCAAGAAAAAUGGACUAGGAUUUUAACUUUGAUGUGUUUAUAUAAAUGUUCUGGCAUAUAGACCACAAACUAAUUAGUUUAAAUAUUUUAUUAUCAAGAAAAGAAAACCAAACCUAGCAUGUAUGUCAGAAGUAAUGAAGCAUCUUUUGAGAAGCUAAGACUCAAAUUAAGGNNNNNNNNNNNNNNNNNNNNNNNNNNNNNNNNNNNNNNNNNNNNNNNNNNNNNNNNNNNNNNNNNNNNNNNNNNNNNNNNNNNNNNNNNNNNNNNNNNNNAUGUAUGUCAGAAGUAAUGAAGCAUCUUUUGAAGAAGCUAAGACUCAAAUUAAGGAAGAAAUUUCUACAAACCACACAGAUGUGUAGUUCCUUUUAACCAGUUUUAUAUGUUAAAAUUAUUAGUGACUUUUUAAAUGGGUGAAAGAUGCAAUUUGCAAUUGCAUUGAUCCAUUUACAGGAUAUGUGUUUCGCAAUUGCUAUCAAGAAAAAUGGACUAGGAUUUUAACUUUGAUGUGUUUAUAUAAAUGUUCUGGCAUAUAGACCACAAACUAAUUAGUUUAAAUAUUUUAUUAUCAAGAAAAGAAAACCAAACCUAGCAUGUAUGUCAGAAGUAAUGAAGCAUCUUUUGAGAAGCUAAGACUCAAAUUAAGGAAGAAAUUCUACAAACCACACAGAUGUGUAGUUCCUUUUACCAGUUUUAUAUGUUAAAAAUUAUUAGUGACUUUUAAAUGGGUGAAAGAUGCAAUUUGCAAUUGCAUUGAUCCAUUUACAGGAUAUGUGUUUCGCAAUUGCUAUCAAGAAAAAUGGACUAGGAUUUUAACUUUGAUGUGUUUAUAUAAAUGUUCUGGCAUAUAGACCACAAACUAAUUAGUUUAAAUAUUUUAUUAUCAAGAAAAGAAAACCAAACCUAGCAUGUAUGUCAGAAGUAAUGAAGCAUCUUUUGAGAAGCUAAGACUCAAAUUAAGGAAGAAAUUCUACAAACCACACAGAUGUGUAGUUCCUUUUACCAGUUUUAUAUGUUAAAAAUUAUUAGUGACUUUUAAAUGGGUGAAAGAUGCAAUUUGAAGCAACCAUGCUGUCAGUCAUCAGAUAAAAUCAUUGCAAUCAGGUCUAUAUUGACUCCAACAGAACAAAUACAAACUGUGAAGUGACUUUAAAUGCCUAUGCAAGAAAAGAAAUACCUACAACAAUUGAAAUGCAUCCGUGUAUAUAUACUCACCCUUAACCAAAAUUUCACUUAAAGUUCAUAAAUGAAUGGUUAAUAUCAUCCUACCACUUUUUCUCCUUGACUUGAUGAUAGCAUCACUUCCAAAGGAAAAACAAAGCAUUAAUGUAGCUGAUUAGCAGGUAAAGAGACAUGAAUCAUUAUCGUUUUUAUUUAAACUGAAAAGGAAACAAGUAAUCUAUACUUACCUAAAAUUUACGAAGGGUGAGUGGGAGUAUAAAUCACUAUAUUUCAAGAACAUCAGAUAAAAAUAAAAUUUGGAAAACAGAGACAGCUAAGUACAGUGGUCAUAAUAUUACUUUAAGAAUGUGACUCGGAUACAUGGCAAAAAUCAAUAUGCAAAUGAUUUAGCAAGAAAUUUGCAUUUUAAAACUGACUUUUUACAAUCAUGGCUAUUAAGAAUCGGAAAUAAAACCAUUAUUAUAAUCUACAUCUCACAAACACACUAUUGUUAACUAAGUACUUAUUUUUUUACAGAUAAUGGCAAAAAAUAUUUAUAUUGGAAAGAAAACUAACCAAUAAACAAUCAAAAUUCUGUGGGUGUGAUAUCAUGGAAGUCAAAGACACCAUGUGACAUUAUGAUUGUAAAUCACAGCAGAGUGCAGACAUGAUAUCAAAACCUGUAUACGACCUAAUGGUAUACAGUUUGAUACUUUGCCACUUCCAUUCUUCUAAAAUAGAAGUUUUUUAGCACAAGGUGAGUCUGCAUACUGACCAUGCUUCAAGCCCAAAGGGCUCUUAGAUUAGGGGACAUAUUCAAUACAAUUCAUGAAUCUUCAUCAAACAGUGGCAGUGGUAUUUUUUAUUAGUUAUAAAGCCUUUUCAAAAGAAGUCAAGAAGAGCAAAAAAUUAACGGUUCUCUAAAUUGACUUAACAGAGCAAAUAAAUAUAUUGAGCUUGAACAUAUAUAACAGUAAUACGAAAAAAAAACUAAUUUAGUUCAUGUAACUCAAUUCAAAAUAAUAAUUUCGUACAAAAUAUAUUCUUUAUAUAAAAAAGAAUGAAUGAUGUUAAGACAAAUCCGUGGUAAACUUGGUUCCACCCACCAGCAACAGUUAAAAAUCAAACAUUAUAGUGUAAAAUUAAGGCAAGGGCUUUGCAGUUCCUCUUUCAAUUCUGGAUAGAAUAAAUCAUAAAUUAUACAAGUUGUGAACUUGAUACUAAAUUUAGGAAGCUCGGAAACUGUAUAUGACAAUUCUAAACAUGUUUCCCAAUACAAAAUAACAGAUUUUAAUCAACAAAAUUAAGAGGAAAACUUUCAAUAAAAAAGACAUUAACAAGGGCGUGUGAGAGGUAGAAAAAUAUAAACACAAAGCAGACUGUCUGAAUGCUAAUCAUUCACUAUUCAUAUCAAGUCAUAAACAUGAAAAGUAUUUUAAUCAAGAACUUGGUUAUAAAUAGAAAAUAUAUACAUAAUUUUAACUAAUCAUAUCAUAUAAUUUCAUUAUGAUAAUUCCCUUUUACAGUUAACCUCAUCUCGGUAUUUACACAUUCUUUUUUCACAGUAGUCCUCUUCAUAUGAAUUGAAGAGCUCUUCUCUAUUCUUGUCCUUCUUGGGUUUUUCUUUAUCGGAGCCUUAUAAGGAGGGUAUAAAAUAUGUCAAAGAUGCAAGACGAAGUAUAAUAAGGGAAUUAUUAUGACUCGGUAAGAGUCUAAGAAACCAACGGGAAAACUAAAAUGGUGGUAGUGAAGACUUUGUAUCAUAUUUGAACAACAAACAAAUUGAAAGCAAAUUGUGAUACCCUAAACCUAAUGAUGCAUGAUUCAAGUGAUAAUAGAACAUAAUCUUGGUAGCUUGAUGUAAAUUUAUCUGUCGUGAUUAUAUUCUCCAUCGCAGUGUCAUUUGUGUAGUCUCUUCAAUCUUAAGCGCUCACAAAAUAUGAAUCAGACACAUAAGUUAUCAUAUUAGUAAAAUCAUGACCUCGUAUUUUGUUUCAGAACUUCCUCUCACUACAACAAUU
rnacentral:lncRNA from 1 species